CAAAAGUGAUGUCAUUAGUUUGUCCCAUCACUGGUGUGAGGGGGUGGGGGUGUUGGCUCAUAAGACCACACCCCUCCCUGAAGAACUACAGGCAUCUCAUGGGUACUGGGAGAGGGGGAGGCAAAUUCCUCAACUGAGUAGUGACUGAUAAGUUACCCUUGCUCAAGUAAAUAACUCCCCACCCAUGCUGAUACAGGCAGUCCUAAGUAAUGCAGUGGGACAGAAGGACUUACAGGACAGGAAAAUAGACCACGGACUUGUUCAGAAGACAAGAGGUGUCUUCAGAGAUCAACCUCCUACAUCCAACUCUUUCACAUUGGCAGCCUACCUGCUCCCUGCCCCUAUGUCUGCCCUGGUUCCAUGGCUUGGAAGGGUUGCAUUGCCAACAACACAAAAUAAAUAGUAUUCUGUACCCUCCAGUUCACCACAAGUCUACCUCUGCCCACCUGGUGACUACCCUCCUUCCAUAUCUGGCCUUCUCAUUCUCCAAGGAGAAUCACCUACACAUACAGGUUCCAGGAUCUCAUGUUUACUCUCAUGUACUCUAAUCCUCAUGCAGGACCCUCAACAAAUCUGAUGGCCAGCAUGGUCAACAGGGCUGAUUGGCCAUGGCAAUCUCAAGGAAGUCAGAGUUCUCUGUCUCCUCUCUCAAUCUCUUAUUUGCUAUAGUUUUUAGGUUAUGAUAGAAGCACACAAGUUAUGCUAGAAUGUAUUUAUUUUGGACUCUAAAUGGGGCCUAGUAUCUAUCUGUGGAACUAAAAGAGAUAUUCACCCCAACUCAAAAACAUGCUCAGCAUAUAGCUAUCAGGGGUCUACAUUCUUCACCCCCAAAAUUCAUAUUUCUAAUCCUAUCUGAGUAAUAUCUCAAAAUACCCUUCCUCCUCUGUAACAGAACAAAAUGAACUCAACUCAUGUCUCAGUCAUGCCCACUUCUAGAGACAUGAAAUGUUGCUGCCCAGUGAAUGAUUCAAUGAGUUAAAGGUGUGAGAGAUGCAGAAUUGAAGUGUCCUCCCUAUGAUGGGAACUUAAAGAGUGUGAGUAAACAAAACCCACCCAAAGCUCCCCUGGGGGAUCCCUUCCCUUCCAGUACCUAAGGGAGUCUGAGAAGGCCUCUAUACCAUACUUGGAGAUGCAGUAACCACCACUACCACCAAGUGACACUCUGCCCAAGAUGCUGGAGACGUUGACCACACGGCCCCUCGCCUUCCUCACUAAGGGCAGCAUGCUCAGAGUCACCUCGAUCAAGCCCAACAGGUUCACAUCCAGUACACUUGCAAAGUCCUGUUUUUUCAUCCACUCGUUGGGACCCGAGGGGACGGAGAUGCCAGCGUUGUUGACCAGGCCCCAGAGUCCUGGGGACAGUGGAAGGAGAGAGUCACACAACACAGGCUUAAUUAUGGAUGAAAUGCACAUUCAACAAGGCUAUGGCCAAGGCUACGAGAUGCUCUCCCAACCCGAUGGUAAAGACAUGUAGCUGAAGACCAUACUAUCUGAUGUCAUCAAACUAGAAGGCAAGUUGGUGCCCAACUAUGCGGGGCAAUGGGCUAUGCACAGACAGCCUGGUCUCCAGUUGAGUUGAGGUCUUGACCCCCCCCCCCCCCCGUGGGACUCAGUGGGUGGUAAUUUCAACCUACAUGGGACAGAAGGCUUUCGAUCAAGUCUCCUGGACUCCUGGCUCCUGUAGAAGUUACCCCCCCGCCCAGCCCUCACAGGAGAGACAUGUGGUUAGCAGUCACGUAGACAAUGUCCCAAGCUUCUGGUAUUCUGGCUAGACGCCUCCCCACAGUUACCUAGC